GUACCUGUAUAGCCACCCGAGGAAGGCGCUGCUUCGCGUUCACAUGAAAAAGUGGUAGUGUAAAAUCAAGUUUGCAAGCGGAAGCACGCGUCGAUGCGUGCUCGUUUUUCCUCUCGUGAAACCAGCACGGAAAAAACUAUCUGCAAAUCGUAACACACGCACAAACGGAAGUGAGCACGGACCACGAUAGAAUUAAUCAAGUGGUUGUGCCAAAAACAAAAGGACAGGAGAGGCAGGAACGAUCAUUCAACGCGUUAGCGCCGGAUGCAGGAGAAACGGCAGGAAGGCAGG